rnacentral:rRNA from 1 species
UACGUAGGGGGCAAGCGUUGUCCGGAUUUAUUGGGCGUAAAGAGCGUGUAGGCGGCCAGAUAGGUCCGUUGUGAAAACUCGAGGCUCAACCUCGAGACGCCGAUGGAAACCAUUUGGCUAGAGUCCGGAAGAGGAGAGUGGAAUUCCUGGUGUAGCGGUAAAAUGCGCAGAUAUCAGGAAGAACACCUAUGGCGAAGGCAGCACUCUGGGACGGUACUGACGCUGAGACGCGAAAGCGUGGGGAGCGAACAGG